AUUUCUUUUCCUACCUCGCACUCUGUGAAAUUUUUCAAAAAAAAAAGUAAAAGUGAAAAUUUGAAAAAAAUGAGGUUAAAAUUCUGUCGUAAUGAAAAUGAAAACGAUAAUGAAUCAUCCGGUAUUUGGGAAAUUCUCACGAUAUAUUACAUAGCCGAAGGAGUUGACUUCCGAUCGCCACCGUACAGCUGUCGUAUAAACUGAAAGUAUGCUUUUCAUUCAUAUUUACUGUAGAGUAAGCCCACCCAUCUGUACAUUGUCUAUCGCUGUCAUCGGUCAUUAUGGUUGCCUAGAUUCAUGGCCCAGUGAAGGGUAAAAUAUGUAUGCAGUUGACAAUGUGUUGUAGGUACGAUUCGUCGAUGGAAGUGUUUACUCGUUCGACGAACACCUUAAUGCAUUAAAUUAGCUCUAAUAUUAAUUCCCAUCUCAAGGAUCGCAUCGUGAACUUUUCCACUGCCAUACUGCAGCAACAUACAUGAUGGCUACGAGUACUACGAAGGAAUCUAGGUAGUUUUUGACAUGCCAACUACGAACAGAACAGAUCAUUACAUAUUCUUUUCAACAACAAACGACAUAAUUGUGUUAGUUACGCAAUGUAAUAAUGAUAGCGGUUGUAACACAUGCUAUGUACGUGCCAGUUCACAUCGUAAUCAUCCGAGUACCUGAAUCGAGUAAACGUAUUACCUACUAUUACUCUCUGCCUGCCUGUGCCUUGUUGGUCUCAGUCGUCCAGUCGUACCUUCAAGUUGAUUUUACCGAAAAACUGAUUUAAUUUUUUACAUUCGUAUCAGUUUCUCUCGGACAGGAAAUAGCGAAUAUUAUAGCAGACCGUUUUGAUAGGCUCUGAAAUGUAAAUAAUUUGCUUAUAAAUUGUUGUUAGGUUUGUGACAGCGCCCUAGCAAUUAGCAGAAAGCAAGUAGAAAGUUGGAAGUUUCUACGAGCUAACGUACAUAAUAAAUACAAUAACGACGCAUUAAUGGUUUUCUGCGAUGCACUGCAAACAAUACCGUUAUAAAGGUGUCAUAUUUGGUUGUAAAUAUACCUAUAUUAUACGAAUAAUACCCAGAUUCCCAUAAUUUUCGGCUACUGACUGACGAUUUCUUCGGUUAUUGUACGGAUCGUAAAAAUUACUUACUCGAGUACGAUAUUUUUUUUCAUCAACUCUUUACCACGAUGACGACGACGACGUUUUAAUAUGAUUUACAUUAUUUUUUUUACCUAUCAUAUUUCCAGCUCGCGAGCUCUUAUAUUAUUCUUCUAUUUAUACCCGCGAUCAGAUAACAAUAUUCAAAUAUCGUCCUCAAAAUUAUAAUUUUGUAUUUUUAUAUGUACUAUAUCGACCAACGCAUUUAUUAUUUUCAAUAACAAAAGCGUAUAUGUUUCGAUAAUGACCUACUUUAUGUAAUCUCACUCAGCUCAGGGGGUGACGUCACGACGUAAAAUAUGUAUAACUAGAUGGCAUUUUGUGAGAGUGGAAUUAUCAAUAUAAUCGAGUGAGAGUUGUAGAGACUGUAUGUACUGUCGUAGUCAAAAUUUACUAUAUACUCUUUAAUAGUACCUACCAACGCCAUUUACUAAUAUCCGAAAUCGUCUUCGUAUAGAUGAGAUUUCUUCGCAUUAAUCUCCCUGUUUCUUUUCAGUUUCACACUCGAGUUGACCCCCGAUCCUUUGCCCAUCUUGCAGCUUUGACACUCGCACCUAUAAGUACCUAUAAAUGAAAUUUUCAAAAACGAAUCGAAUCACUCUCCGACGACUCCACAACGCUCAAUUAGCCAAUAUGGCCAUGCGAUUAAUCAUAUUAUACGCGCGCUUUUGUUUGCCCCUGUCCGUGAAAAAUCUUUCUUUCUACUUUGUUGAUAUUUAUCAUUACCUUAUGGCUCUUGACGUGUUAUUUUGCGAUAACGAUGUGUCUGUCUGUUUCUUUCUCGAAUACGUGUACGUAUGUAGGUGUAAAAUAUGUAUUUUUUUUUUUUUACUUCCUGAAUUGUAUUAACGUAUGUGUAUUUCGUCGUCGUCGCUUACGUGUACCUUCUCCUACCCUCCCCCUCUCUGCUACCUCACUGGUCUUCCGCUGAAUUUCACUUGUACUUACUGAAGAAAUUAUCGUAAUUAGAUAUGGUUUUAUGGUGUAUACGCUCUGUUUACUAGUUCUAUAACUAUUUUCAAGUGCAUAGUGCAUAUUAUCUGUCUGAUUUUUUUCUGUCGUGCAUUUCCCAUGUGUGUAUUAUCGGCUGAGAGGAAAGUGAUUGGUGGAUUUUUUUCAAUUUUGAUUUGAGAGGAAUGAAAUUUAGUUGAUUUUUUUUUGAAUUGGCGAAUUUUUGAAAAUUUAAGCUUUUCUGGGGCAUCUUGUUGUGGUUUUUCAAUUUGCCCCAGAAAUUUCAAAUCGCUCUGGAAAGCCAAAAAUGAUUUUUUGAACAUAACUUUGAUCUUCUGUGCGCUUUGGGCACCCUCUAGAUUAUUUUAGGUGGUUAUAGCGAAAUUCCAGGAGUGUCAGUUCAUAAGUGGAUUUUUGACUAAUUUUUAAAUUCUAGAAAAAGUGAAAAAAAUCGAAUUUUCAAAGAUUUUUUUGGCAAGAUAUCGUCUUAUAUGUCUACACGAUUACCCUAUUCGAAAGCAAUCGCUAUUUGAUUCUUUUGAAGUCUUCAGCAAGUUUUCAAAUUUUUUUAGAAAUUUCAUAUUGCUCUGGAAGGAUCAAAGUAAGCUUUAGAAUUUAUAACUUUGAUCAAAGCUUUUCGAGCCUCUUUUUUGAUCACCUCAAAAGUUCUUUUUUGGCCAUUUUUGAGCGAUUUAAAAUUUUUGGAAAAAAUUGAAAUAUUUUUGGAUGCUCCAAACCGGCUCAAAACUAUAUAGGUGAGAUUUGAAUUUAGGGAAUUAUUCACAUUGGUUAACUUUGCUCCAAAAAUUUACUUAUAUGCAUUUAAAAAAAAUACAAAGAAAAGUCUUGGAACAGUUUUUUUGAUUUUUUAAAAUUUUUAGAAAUCCAAAAAUGAACUUCAAAUAAAAGAUGCUCUUUCGAUCGAGCUUGGUUUCAGUCGAAUUGGAGAGUGUCAGUUCUAAAGAUUCAUCCGUUUGAAGCAAAGCAUCGAAGUUCAUAAAAUGUACUUAGUACUUCUACAACAAGUUUCUGGAUCGAAUAUUCAUUUUUGAAAAACCCCCUCAAGCUUCGAAACCCCUGAGUAAUUUUUGUAAAAUUUCUCACCGUUUUAAAAUUAAUAAUCAUUUUUGAUUCCAAAUUUGAAACUAUUCCCCUGGUGCUUUAUUUAUUUAAGAUGAAGCCAGACUUUUUUCAAGGGAACCUCUUGAGGUGUCACACUCCGAUUUGAACGGGACCGCGAUUUUUGGAAAGAGCAUAGUCUAAAACCCCCAAAACCAAAUUUUCAGCUGCCCAAUAGUUAGUUCAUUUUUCGAUUUUUGACCAAUUUUUGAAAAUUCAAAAUUGACUGUUUUUGGCGAUUGAUUUAUGCUUUUUUUUAAAAAAGUACGUACUUGAUCAAUAAAAAUGGUCAAAAUAAGUCCCAAAACUAAUAUUUAUUACCCAAAUCCAAAUUUCACCAUUUCCAGCCAUUCUGGAGCCUCCAGCGCGAUUUUGAAUUUCUCCAGAAUUUUUAAUUUGCUCCAGAAGGCGUGAAUAUGAAGUUGGUCAGCUAAAAAUCGAGUUGUAUAUUACACUCGACCUGUUUAACGAGUUUAUCCGCAUUUGAGCCGAUUUUGAGAGUGACAUCUCAAAAGUGGCUUUUUGACCAGCUUUUUUCAAAAAUAAAAAAAUCCAAAGUUUCCCGUUUGUGUGGAAAUUUUUGAAAUUCACGAGAAUCGCUGUAUUUUGUCCAAAACCAACCCUCCUAAUCCAAAUUUCACAAUUUCCCGCCAUUCUGGAGCCUCCAGCGCGAUUUUUCAAUUUCUCCAGAAUUUUGAAUUUGCUCCAGAAGGCGUGAAUAUGAAGUUGGGCAGCUAAAAAUCGAGUUGUGUAUUAUACUCGGCCUGUUUAACGAGUUUAUCCACAUUUGAGCCGAUUUUGGGAGUGACACCUCAAGAGUGGUUACUGGUUUCACAAUUGAAAAAUUUUCUAUUCAUUUCUAAAAACUGCAUUUUUUGAACUGAGCACUGAAGGGAGUGAAAUGAUUCAAAGUUGGAUUCAAAUGCUUUACUUUUAUGUAGAGAUGUGCACUUUUCAGAAAAGUAAUUUUGGUGAAAUGAAAAGUGAAAAGUUCAUUGAAAAGUGUGAAAAGUUGUGAAAAGUAAAUCGUGUGAAUCUCAUUAUUAAAGCUCUCUGUAAGAGCUUCAAAUUGAUGUAUUUUUUGACUAUCUAAAACACAAAAAAAAACAAUCAUUUUUUUUUACCUACUUAAUCAAAUAGUGGUAGUUUUGAGCCUUUCUAGAGCCUCUGACAUUUUUGGGUUUUUCAGUUUUGAAAAAAUGUUGUGAAAAAUAUCAAAAAUGGGCACUAAAUUGCGAAGGUGGCGGAGUGGAGAGAGUGAAACUUGAUAUUUGACUUCAUCAAUGAGGUCAGUGAUCUCUGAUGAGUAAAUUGAUUGGUCACUCGCUUUUUUUUUUUAGUGAAAACUGAAAAGUGUAAUGAAAAGUAGGAACUUUUCUUUUCAACUUUUCAUUGAAAGAAAAGUACUUUUCACUUUUCACUUUUCACUCUGCACAUCUCUACUUUUAUGUUAUCAUAUUUUUUGUAGAAUUUUUAUGACUUUUUCUAUCAAUUUUUCGAAAGCUUUCCAAACGUAUUUUCAAGUUUCCGGAUUUUUUUUCAAUAUUUGCUUCAACUUUCAUUAUAUUUUUGGAAAUUUUGGUUCCAUUUUUUUCUUUGCCUCGUCAACUUUUUUCAGACUGAUUUGUAAGAUUUGGAUUUCUUCGAUCUGGCUCCAAAUUUGCGAGAUGUAUAAAUUUUUGAGAUGCAAUAAUUUCUCAUUUUCAUCUCCCCCUUCUCUUUUUCCCUCCCUUUCUUCUCCUCCAGCUAAAAGGAUUGCGAACUGACCUCUGAAUAUACAGCUAAAUAUUUGAGCUCCUUCUUUCAACCUUGGCAAUUCAAAAAUGUUUUGGAAUUCAUUAAAAUAUUUUAUUGCUUUGAGAAA